GUGUGUUAGUGGUAGUGGACUAGGAGGCAUAGCCAGGUGCAUGUGUUAGUGGUAGUGGACUAGGAGGCAUAGCCAGGUGUGUGUGUUAGUGGUGGUGGACUAGGAGGCAUAGCCAGGUGUGUGUACUGUAUCUGUCUGUCUGUCAGUACAUGUUGUUUAGUCAUUACAUGACUUCAACACCCCUCCACCCCUCUCCACUGUCGCUCUUAAGGUGCAACCGGAUACACAACGGUCACCAAGUUCAUCGAGCCUCAGGUCAUUGAGGGUAGGGCCACCUUAAAUAUCUCAUCUCAUCUCUAUCCUCUCCUCUUAUUAAUGCGUAAUAGUUCCUUGCUCGGUCAGGAGACAUCAACAUGGCCGCUAACCCUUCAGUGUUUGCAGAUAUGAAGAAAGUCAGAUACAGGUUUUAACCAAAAUGGCGGAAGGUUCCAUGUUGGAUUGUGAAGUGGAGUCAUCACCAUUUUGCUAACAAACCUGACUUCUUCAGAUCUGCAAAGACUAAAGGGACAGUAGGGUAUAAGACCAGGACUAGGGGUCUGUAUUCUACAGUAGGAUAUAAGACCAGGAUUAGGGUCUGUAUUCUACAGUAGGAAAUAAAACCAGGACUAGGGGUCUGUAUUCUACAGUAGGAUAUAAGACCAGGACUAGGAGUCUGUAUUCUACAGUAGGAUAUAAGACCAGGACUAGGAGUCUGUAUUCUACAGUAGGAUAUAAGACCAGGACUAGGAGUCUGUUUCUGUAGUGGAACCUUUAUCCUACAAUAUGAAACUGUGUCUGUGGAUCCACGAAUCCUCCAUUUUGAGUCUAACAGCUCCAGUUUCCUUCCGCAGGCCCAGAUUUCGCUAAGAUCACCACCAUCCACGGCAACCCGGAAAUGAUUGCCCAAGAGUCAGAGAGGAUCACCAAACUAAUCCAAGAUGGAGGCAGUAAGGGUGCCCCAGAUGGAGGCAGUAAGGGUGCCCCGGCCAAAAGAUCUCCAGGUAAAUAAAUAGAUGACAACACACUCUCUCUCUCACAACACACACAGAGGUAGAAAAAGUACUCAAUUGUCAUACUUGAGCAAAAG
rnacentral:lncRNA from 1 species